CUGAACAAGAAUUUACAUGUUUUCCAGCCUUUUGAGAAGUAGUACACUUUAUGAAAGAUUUUCUUCUGCUGUGAUUGACAAAUGUUCUUUUUCAGUAGAGUGAGAAAAAAUUACCUUUAAGGCCAGAGGGAAUCAUUUAAUAAGUGCUUAAGGGCAAGAGAUGAAGAUGAGAUGUUUGCUACAGAAGAAACAGGUUAUUCCUGCUGUAUGGAAGAGAUGGACAUCUCUGGUUACAUGGGAAUCUUUUUCAUCUCUUACACUCUGACUAAAUGAUGGGAACAGAACGGGUUUACAGUUACUUGUGAAGAG
rnacentral:lncRNA from 1 species